rnacentral:rRNA from 1 species
GAUGAACGCUGGCGGCGUGCCUAAUACAUGCAAGUCGAGCGAACGGACGAGAAGCUUGCUUCUCUGAUGUUAGCGGCGGACGGGUGAGUAACACGUGGAUAACCUACCUAUAAGACUGGGAUAACUUCGGGAAACCGGAGCUAAUACCGGAUAAUAUUUUGAACCGCAUGGUUCAAAAGUGAUAGACGUUCUUGCUGUCACUUAUAGAUGGAUCCGCGCUGCAUUAGCUAGUUGGUAAGGUAACGGCUUACCAAGGCAACGAUGCAUAGCCGAACUGAGAGGGUGAUCGGCCACACUGGAACUGAGACACGGUCAAGACUCCUACGGGAGGAAGCAGUAGGGAAUCUUCCGAAAUGGGCGAAAGCCUGACGGAGCAACGCCGCGUGAGUGAUGAAGGUCUUCGGAUCGUAAAACUCUGUUAUUAGGGAAGAACAUAUGUGUAAGUAACUGUGCACAUCUUGACGGUACCUAAUCAGAAAGCCACGGCUAACUACGUG